GAGGAAUAAGUGAGUAGUUUAACAUGUAAGUGGUCAAUUUAUUAUUCACCAAUUAAAAAUAAGUCAACCAAUUCAAUAUUUAUUAACGUAAAACCUUUGCAUAAUACAAAAAUAUAUAAAGAAAAAUAUACAUUUACUUUACUUUUCUACAUUGGCUAGAGGUAUAGGGGAGGGUUAAGAUCUCAUAAAAAUGUUUAACCCCGCCGCAAUUAACAUUUAAGACAUAUAUACGCUUGCCCGAUAAAGCAAAAAAAAAAAAAUUAAAAAAAAUAGAUAUACGAGAGUACACAAAUAUUGGAAAAAACAUUAAGCAAACAGCAUGCGUCCGAGCAUCCCUUUAAACUUACCUACACCAUGAACAAGCAAAGUCCAAUAUUUGAAAACUGGAUCAGUAAAUACCGAGCCACAACAACAGUUCUACGACAAAAAUGGACAUAAAAGUAAAAAGACAAAUGAAGGGGAAACUGCAAAAGGAAAUAAAAUGAUAUAUAACGACCGAAUCUAGAAUAUAUAACCCAAGAAAAUACUGCAUUAUUUCUGACAUAAAAUAUUCAUUUAAACGUUUUUGAUACCCUCCGAUUAACGUUUUGAUAAAAAGGAUAAGAAGUUCAUCAACAAAGUACAUAAAUAUUUUCCUUAAACAACGUUAACUUUUGACCAAGUUUUUUGGAUAUCGUAUUGUUUGAGAAUUAUCUCCUUCAAAUGCAAGUGAAGUAUAUUGUUACUCGGUGUUAAGUUAUAUAACAACACCUAUGGUAUCGACUUUAUC
rnacentral:lncRNA from 1 species